CAGCAGCCCUGAGCUGUGCCCAAGUGGGCAGAGGGAUCCUCCUCCCAUCCGCGCUGAUUCAGAAGUGGAAGCAUUUCAUAGUGAGGCUGUAUCCAAGUACUCACACUGUCAAAGCUCUUCCCUUGCUGUUAAAGGCCAACUCCUAUUGAAGUCACCAGAAAGAAUCCCUCCGGCUUGAGCAAGAAGUUAAAUUGGGCUUUCUUGAGUCUGUGGUGUAGCCUUGGGCACGACACAAACCCUCUGUCCCAUAAUUAAUUUAUCUGCAUGCUGCCUUCCAGUUCUGCAGCAAGGCAAGUUAAUACUGCAUUUGGAGGGUGUACUUCUCUCAUGGUGCAUUUCAAGUAGUUCAAAGCAAAGUCUUAUUUUAGGUACUUAUAUAUCAUUAUAAACCUGAGAUCAUUAGGUGCUAGAAGCAGAUAAAAUCUGUAAAGUACACAAGGAUAUUUCAGAGCUGUUGGGGUUUGGGGUUUUUUUCUUCCUAUAAGAUAAUUAACUUUCUGUUUACUAUAUCAUCUGGGAAAUGGACAGCCUAAGAUAGGGCCUGGCCAACAGCAAAAAAUAGCAAUUUUCAUUGUAUCUGCAUUUUUCCCUUAUGAUGUCUUUAAAAUAGUGAUACACAAAUGCCAUAAUACCCAUUGCAUGGAUUUUUUUAAGGUCAGAGCAAGGAAGAAUGAAUUCUGUGUCUGAAACAAGAACAAAUACUUUUUUGAAAGCCUCUCCUUCUCAGUUUUAGGCAAGGAAGUUCCAUUUCUGUGAGAAUUUUUAGGGAAGUUGAGUAGUAAAAUGUAUACCUGCAGGUUUUUGUUUCAGCUGACACUUGCUUUAAAGGACAGAACUGGAACACUUGCUUACAGACCCAAUCAGAUCAAUCUGGCCAGGAAGAGCUUAGCUGUUUUUACAAAUACAGCAGUUCUGACAGGUUGGGAGGAUGUGAGAAAAUUAGUAAAGGAAUUAUUUAACCUUUGUUCCCAAACACCCAAGGUGAGUAUCCUAACCAGUCCCUGAAAUUUGGUUAAUGUGGGGAAUUGUAUGAGACUCAUCUGACUAAAUGAAUGUUUACUACACCAACACAAACACCUGAGCUUAGGCUUUUUUACAGUCAGCAGAGAUCUGCCUCAGCUGAUGGAUAUGGCUCAUCCUAAAGCAGAUGCCUACAUUUGGUCAGAUUAAUUUUGUCCUGUGUGACACUGAUCAUAUUUACUCACCUUCCACUCACUACAGAUGGUGACUAGGUGACCCUGGAUUACUUGUGUGGCUGUCUCAGAUGGAGGCAUCUACACAGCAGACACUAAAAACUUAGCUGAAUUAAUGCUAGCCCUUGUGAUAGUUUUUGUAGGACUCAUUUUACAUUGAACAGAUCUAAUAGAAGAGCCUGGGCAAGGCAGAGCUUAAAACAGUCAACUAAGUUGUUUUCUUGAUAUAGGAAAGACUUUGGGACACAUCUUUGUUCUAAAUUGUUCAAAGUAAGGGCUGAAAUAUUUUUACAUCCUAUCAAAGUCUGCUAACUAAUGGGAUGC